AAUAAACAACCUUAUUGAAUAAACAUUAAUCCAAACAUAUUGAAUAACCAAAUUACAAAGGUAUAAUUAAUAGUGCUACAUAACCCUUCGGUUUAACACGACCCAGAACUAAAUUGAACGAUUUCUCAUUUGUAUUAGAGAAAAGGUAUGUGGUAUGUAUAUUGGUAAUUCGACGCACUCACUGAUUAGAAUUGUAUUGUUAAAGAGUUAUUGUGAGAAAUAAUAAUUAAUAUAUGAAUAAAAAUGUAUUUAUUCUUUGUUUUGACGUUUAAUAAGUCAAGUUGCUGAUUUGACUAAUCAGUAGUGACGUUUAAUUGAACUGUCAAAUUUUUGAGUUAGGUUUUCGACAAUUCGCCUGAUUUAAGUUGGUUUAAUUCACUUUUUACGCUUUUGAGGUUAAUUCGGAAUAUUGGUGAUGAUCUGUCAUAAUUACGUUUUACAUAACCUCAUAAACUAAUGAAGAUUUCAAAAGAAUAUGGUAACAUAGCCCUUGAGGAAUCAUUUCG